UGUGUGUGUGUACACGUGCUUGUUUCCU
rnacentral:piRNA from 1 species